UUCGCUUCAUUCAUGCUUUUGGGGAGCACAUUAUCUUCUAGAAGAAUCUCUUUGAAAAGAAUAAACAACUCUAUGAAGGCCUUGUCUGAUAGACCAUUUUCUACUUUAAAUCUAAGAAGCUCUAUUGUGACACUCAACUUGGAAUAUUUCUUUUUGAAACUUGGACACAAAUAUUUCUUGGAGGCCGCAUCAUUGCUUGGCAGCUCCUUAUACUUUGCUAAAUCUGCUUCUUGGCUUUGGGAUUCGGCAAUAGCAGCAAAAUCUAGCAUAUCAUCUAUGUCGGUGUCGUAUACCUCACAUUCUUGGGUUUUUGGGAUGAUUUGGCAUGCCAUUCUUCAGUCUGUAGCUUGAUGUGUCAUCCUCGAGGUUGAGCUCAACACCCAUGCGACUCUGGUAGGGGUUUGGAUGACAUGCCAGUUAUUACCUUAAUCCAUAACCGACUCUUCACCAUGUUUAGUCAAUCGUGUGUAUCGAUCCAUGAAUCCCCUCUUGAACAAGUGAUACCCGACUUCAUGAAUUGAAUGUGACACCAUAUUGAUACAAUCCUUGCAUGAAGAUAGGAUGUAAUCUUCUUUGCCAAUUCUCCUCGUUAUCCUUCAGCUAAAGCCAAGAAAUCCUAGGUGCCAUCCACAUACCUUGAGCUUCUAUGACCCCACCAUCCAUUUAGAUCAUUCCA
rnacentral:lncRNA from 1 species